GACGAAGGUGGCGACCGUUGUUCGGAAUCACUGGGCAUAAAGAGCUCGUAGGCGGUGAGGAAAGUCGGGUGUGAAAUCCCUCGGCCCAACCGAGGAACUGCGCUCGAAGCUGCCUUGCUUGAGGACGGAAGGGGACCACGGAAUUCCUGGUGGAGCGGUGAAAUGCGUUGAUAUCGGGAGGAACACCGGCGGCGAAGGCGGUGGUCUGGUCCGUUUCUGACGCUGAGGAGCGAAAGCUAGGGGAGCAAACGGG
rnacentral:rRNA from 1 species